GGGUAUUGCAAUGAACGGACGGCCUGGACAGCCACAGAUCGUGUUGAGGCAUGGUGCCAGACGGUGGUAGGUCUAGGGGAGUCCGACGUGAUACCAAAUGUCGUACUGGCGCGCCUCCUGGAACGUACGAUGUCACGUCAGUGGCGCCAUGCCGCUACGGCUGCGAGCUGGGUAGCCAUGUGGAUACGCGGCCAAAAUGUUGACCUUUUGAGCCUCCCGCCUGACUCUACUCCGGAACCGUGGAUGGUCGACGGACGGUGAUCGGUCACGGUACCGUUCGAUCGCCAGUGCGGACAGACCACCGUGCCUUAUAUUUUUUUUGUAAAUAUAUAUAUAUAGGGAAAGUUUCUGGAACGGCGGGUCUUUCGAACGUUCCCCCGUGCGACACCAAAUGUGACCGUUAUUUUGCUAGACGAAUGGUGGUCGUCCAUUCAUAGAUGCCGGAACUACAUCCUGCAGGUCCGACAUCGAUUGCAGUGAUGGAACUGCGAUUGCAGUUCCGGCAACC
rnacentral:lncRNA from 1 species